rnacentral:lncRNA from 1 species
GUUGUCACCGCCGUCGUUGUCGCCGCCGCCUCCCAGCAGUGCCGUCUGGCCUCUGAGAGGCAGCGCGCGGCCCCCGCACGCUCCACGCCCGCCCCGCCGCCGCGCGCUCCCGACGGCCGACGCUCGCCUCUGUGCGGCCGGCGCGCGGCCGCUGCCCUCAGCCUCCGGUCUGUAGCCUCACGACGUUCCCAUUGGCUCCCGGGCGCGGGCGCGGGCGCGGGCGACGUCUCUCGCGGGGCACGUUCUUCUCAUUCAUGCGGCUCGCGCCGCCGAGCCCGCCCCCGUUCACUCUUCCAUUCACCCCCUAACCCCCGCCCCCACGGCGCUCUAGAGCGUGCGCGCGACCGCGGGCGACCGCGGCGACCUCGCCUUCUGAUUGGCUGCAGGGGCACGGCGCCGCAAACACGUAGUGACACGGGAGCGCGCGCGCCUGGCCGUCGUGUCUGGCUGGAUGGUCGGGAGAGGGGACAUGGCGAACUGCGCCGGUUUGGGGACGAGGAACUGGUCUGGCGAGAUCUUUCUCUUAUUUUGUCCGCUUUCCCAUUUGUAGUGUAGUCAAGAAAAACUUUUAAGCAAAAAAAAUUCUACGUAUGUACCGGAAGUGCUCAAAAACAAGCAGAUGCCCUUUCUUAGUUCACCAGCCUCCUCCGAGUUGGCCUGGUACAGUCCUGAAAAGCAUCUACGAUAGCCAAUCACCGUUAAGCCUUUCCGGCUUCCUUCCUUGCCUCUUCAUUCAUUGGUGUGAGGAUUCGGUCGGGCAGCCCCUCCAACACACACACUUUUUUUUUUUUUUUUUUUCUUUAAGGACUGAAACUUUAUUUAAAACAAUCCGUUGGCGAAAGCGUCAGUGGGGUAAAUUCUCAGACCGUGGCAGAAUUCCUGAGUGGUGGUAUGGCCUCACCUAUGGAGGAAGGAGGCGCACGGCCCAUUGAACAGUCUGAGGAGAGGGUUCUGUCCAAGGCUGGGUUAGAUGAAGGAGCUCGGCUGCUAUCCCUAGAUUUACAGUGCUUGCCGAUGGAGUGAAGCACUGGGAGUGCGCGGUGCGAGGCGUAGACACCUCCACGACUACACGAGGAAUGGGCGCCCUGACCUCACCCAAUUUGAGAAAGCAGGCUGAAAAGAAAAGUCUUUCUAGAAUAGCUCCUGUCCCUGGCGAGCUGCUGGCUAACUCUCCGAAGAUCGCGGCACUACAUUUUGCCCUAAUUAAGCCGAGACGGCUGUGGACCCGGUGGCUUUGCCAUAGGGCUCUCCUCUUACAGCUUCAGGCCACCUCUCAUUUGUAAAGGAGCUCUGUUACAUAACAGCCCUUCAAAAAGAUAUCCCCGAGCCGCUUCCCUGAAGCGAAGGUCUCGUUCAGGGUUAUUUCCAAGUCCUGUCAUUGUUUCCUUGACUUCACUUCAAAUGUUACUGAUUUAACUUUGACACUUCAGCCUUAGGCAUCCAGUU